CGAAGAUAGGGCGGGCGGCUCGAACUUCUGGCUUUGCUGCAAACCUUGCCAAUGGAGUUUUUGAUUGCUAUAGUGCUUGUUAGCACCAUUGCGAUUAAUGUGCUGUGCAUCGUGACCACAGCUUGUGUGCUGGUGCUGGCAUCUGCCAUGCGUGCAGGAAUGGGAGCUGUGACUGAGAAUCUCAAGGUGAUGGCCAUUCGUGCGGCAGUGAGGGAGGAUUUGCCAACAAUCCAUAGUGCCAUAAAAGAAGACGUUGUUGCUGUGGUUCCUUCACUGUAUCGUGAAGUGCUUGGAGGUCCUCCUUGAUUGCAGCACGCAUAGCUGCAACAUUCACUGCUCUAGCCAUGGCAACAAUGCACCAUGGAUUGCUUGCAAAUCCUCCUUCACUGCUGCACAAAUGGAUCCCAUUCAUGCUCCAGGAUGUUAUAGCAGCCCACAACCAAGUCAUGAUCGACUAUUCCGCAUCCCUCUAUCAGGGUUUGGAUGGCUUGAUCCAGUCGUGUGCAAAGAGCACAGUGGUGGGUAAGUGGCGCUGCUGCUGGUUCAAUGAUCAGUAGUUGAUUCAUAGAAACGACAAAGCUGUUCUUUUUUUUUCUCAGGAAAAUUUUUUCUGAUUCGGAUCUUCGUUCUUCGAAAUAAAAAGGCUCAUAUGUCGUGAGCUUCUGAUAGUGGAUGAGUGUAACUAUUUAUUCAGGAGGUCCUUUGGAGCUGCGGAUAUCGCAUAUAGUCACUCGGUUCAAAUGCUUUGUAUGGUAACGGAACAUUGAAUCGAAGCUUUCAAGUUUUCUGUCUUCAA